AACGAACGCUGGUGGCAUGCCUAACACAUGCAAGUCGAACGAGAUCUUCGGGUCUAGUGGCGCACGGGUGCGUAACGCGUGGGAAUCUGCCCUUUGGUUCGGAAUAACAGGUGGAAACGACUGCUAAUACCGGAUGAUGACGAAAGUCCAAAGAUUUAUCGCCAGAGGAUGAGCCCGCGUAGGAUUAGCUAGUUGGUGUGGUAAAGGCGCACCAAGGCGACGAUCCUUAGCUGGUCUGAGAGGAUGAUCAGCCACACUGGGACUGAGACACGGCCCAGACUCCUACGGGAGGCAGCAGUGGGGAAUAUUGGACAAUGGGCGAAAGCCUGAUCCAGCAAUGCCGCGUGAGUGAUGAAGGCCUUAGGGUUGUAAAGCUCUUUUACCCGGGAUGAUAAUGACAGUACCGGGAGAAUAAGCUCCGGCUAACUCCGUGCCAGCAGCCGCCGUAA
rnacentral:rRNA from 1 species